UACGGAGGAUCCGAGCGUUAUCCGGAUUUAUUGGGUUUAAAGGGUGCGCAGGCGGAAGAUUAAGUCGGUGGUGAAAUUUUGCAGCUCAACUGUAAAAGUGCCAUUGAUACUGGUUUUCUUGAGUGUGGAUGAAGUAGGCGGAAUUUGUGGUGUAGCGGUGAAAUGCUUAGAUAUCACGAGGAACUCCGAUUGCGCAGGCAGCUUACUAAACCACUACUGACGCUCAGGCACGAAGGCGUGGGGAUCAAACAGGAUUAGAUACCCU
rnacentral:rRNA from 1 species